GUUACAAGUGCGAUUUCAGCACGGCCAUCCCCAAGGCACUCCGAUUUCCUGACCCACACGUAGACGGUAGGAAUUCACAGGAGGAAAAACAAAAACCCAAACCCACGGCGGAUGCGGGACAGAGGAAGGGACCACGUGGAAGUCAAGGAACCGCAAGGUCUUAACAAAGCACUUCGUUAAGAAGCUUACUUUGCAAGGCUAUAGGAACGGCACUCAAGAUUUCCAUCUGAAAAAAGCAAGGCGUGUAGAAUUCCCCAGCGAGCGCGCCGAGCCAAUUUGCACUUUGAUUCCGGCGACAUUGUCAGUCAAAUCCCCACCCCAGGCCCCCAGGUAAUCCCCCCACCUCCACCCCAGUUACAAAGCAGCCAGACUGUUACAGAUUGCGGAAAAAGUAAAAGUAUAUUCUAAAAUGAAGAACCAAUGAUCCCGUGAAGCAGUGCUGUCUUCUCAUCAGAAAGAUCUGAACCUUAUUUUACCUGUUGCAUUGUUAAUAAAGACGUUCUUUUUU